rnacentral:rRNA from 1 species
UACAUGCAAGUCGAGGGGCAGCGGAUCCCUCCGGGGNAUGCCGGCGACCGGCGAACGGGUGANUAACACGUAUGGAACCUACCCUUAACUGGGGGAUAGCCCCGAGAAAUCGGAGUUAAUACCCCAUAUUAUAAUAAAGGGGCAUCCCUUUAUUAUGAAAGCUCCGGCGGUUAAGGAUGGCCAUGCGGUCCAUUAGCUUGUUGGUGAGAUAAAAGCUCACCAAGGCCACGAUGGAUAGCUGAUCUGAGAGGAUGAUCAGCCACAUUGGCACUGAGACACGGGCCAAACUCCUACGGGAGGCAGCAGUAGGGAAUCUUGGUCAAUAGGCGAAAGCCUGAACCAGCCAUGCCGCGUGCAGGAUGAAGGCCCUACGGGUCGUAAACUGCUUUUAUUCGGGAAGAAAAAGUCUGUGUCCACAGACCUUGACGGUACCGAAUGAAUAAGGACCGGCCAACUCCGUGCCAGCAGCCGCGGUAAUACGGAGGGUCCAAGCGUUAUCCGGAUUCACUGGGUUUAAAGGGUGCGCAGGCGGUCUGGUAAGUCAGUGGUGAAAGCCUUCGGCUCAACCGGAGAAUUGCCAUUGAAACUACUAGACUUGAGUGUAGUUGAGGUGGGCGGAAUGUACCAUGUA